rnacentral:lncRNA from 1 species
ACUGGCCUCAAGUGAUUUACCCACCUUGGCCUCCCAAAUUUCUGGGAUUACAGGCAUGAGCCACCGAGCGCAGUCCUGACUCUGCUCUUGGGAUACCUGAGAGUACUGUGUUAUAUGAAUAUCUGAUCUACCUAUGGAUUCAGCCGACCUAAAGUUGUUGAAUUCUUAAGCCACCACCCCCUUCUCACCAGCACAAGAUUUACUUUCAGAUCAUCAGUGCGUUAAUUGAACAAAUGGCAAAGAUCUUGCCAAAAUCUGAGAAGAUGUCCUCUGACGUUGCGCUUCUUGCCGCUGCCAUGAGAAGAAGGAUGUUUGCUUCCCCCUCUGCCAUGAUUGUUAAGUUUCCUGAGGCCUCCUGAGCCAUGCUGAACUGCUGGAAAAAUAAAACAAAAUGAAAUGAAACCUGAAAUUGACAAGUGUUGGAAAGGAUACAGAGAAUUUGGAACACUUCUGCAUUGUUGGUGAGAAUAUAAAAUGAUGGAGCUGCUAUAGAAAAUGGUAUGGUGAUUCUUCAAAAAUUUAAACAUAGAAUUACAAUGUAAUCCAGCAAUUCCCUCUCUAAGUAC